GACUAACGCUGGCGGCGUGCCUAACACAUGCAAGUCGAACGGGGUAGCAAUACCCAGUGGCAGACGGGUGAGUAACACGUAGAUAACGUGCCCUCUAGUCGGGAUAGCCACUCGAAAGGGUGGGUAAUACCGGGUGUGAUCGUUUCGGGGCAUCCCGAGACAAUGAAAGCAGCAAUGCGCUAGAGGAGCGGUCUGCGGCCUAUUAGCUUGUUGGUGAGGUAAUGGCNCACCAAGGCGACGAUGGGUAGCCGGUCUGAGAGGAUGAUCGGCCACACUGGCACCGAGAUACGGGCCAGACUCCUACGGGAGGCAGCAGUGAGGAAUUUUGCGCAAUGGACGAAAGUCUGACGCAGCAACGCCGCGUGGGUGAUGAAGGUCUUACGGAUCGUAAAGCCCUGUCGGAGGGGAGAUGCUUUCACCGUCUAAUAGAUGGUGGAGGUGACGGUACCUUAAAGGAAGCACCGGCUAACUCUGUGCCAGCAGCCG
rnacentral:rRNA from 1 species